rnacentral:lncRNA from 1 species
AAAUUGCAUAGAUGAGUUAGUUGCAACGCUUUUUUGUAUUGAGUUAUUUGUAUUACAAUAAUCAUCAAUUUAUACUUAACUAAUCUAAAUUUUACUUCGAGGUAAUUUUUGACAACUUCAUAUAUAAUGUAAAAAACUGAUGACAUCUGUUCUAUUUUUACAUUCUCUCCAGUGAUUGAUAGUGUUGCCUACUUUGUCAAAUCAAAACAAGGCAACAUUUUCCUAAAAAGUGAUCUGUGCUCCACCUAUCCUAUUCAUAUGCACAGAAGACUUUCAGGGCAGAAAACUAUUCUGCAUGAUACUAUACUGGUAUAUGAAUUUGCCUAAACUCAUAGAAUGUAUGACAGCAAGCGUGGACCCUAAUAUAACUAUGGACCUUGGUGAUAAGGAUGUGCCAGUGCAGGUUCAUCAGCGGGAUACCAUCAACUCUACAUAGUUGUCUAAGCCAAGACCUCCUGCUAGGACUGAUUAAAGCCUGUGCAUCCUCAUUAUCCAGAGCCUGUGUUGCUCCUCUAGAGCUAUAGUCAGGCUAACCAUUCCUUCUGGUUAAUAUCUGAAAGGAAGAAUCAUGCAGCAAGAAGAGAACUGUGAGGGAAUAAAAAUGGCACAAACCCAGCCUGGAUUUCUCUCUCCCCUUUUAAUGAUGAAUGAAUGAAAAAAAUUCAUCAUUAGCUGUAGUUAGUUUCUAUUACAUAAAAAGGAAGCUGAUGAAAUAUAUAACUGAGUUAUAUACCCA